GAACCUGCGAAUGGCUCAUUAAAUCAGUUAUGGUUUAUUUGAUGGUACCUUACUACUUGGAUAACCGUAGUAAUCCUAGAGCUAAUACAUGCAGGAAUUCCCGACUUCGGAAGGGAUGUAUUUAUUAGAUAAGAAACCAACUCCCUCUGGGAUUGUGUGCUGAGUCAUAAUAACUGCUCGAAUCGCAUGGCUUUACGCCGGCGAUGGUUCAUUCAAAUUUCUGCCCUAUCAGCUUUCGAUGGUAGGAUAGAGGCCUACCAUGGCGUUUACGGGUAACGGAGAAUUAGGGUUCGAUUCCGGAGAGGGAGCCUGAGAAAUGGCUACCACAUCCAAGGAAGGCAGCAGGCGCGUAAAUUGCCCGAAUCCUGACACAGGGAGGUGGUGACAAGAAAUAACAAUACAGGGCUACUUUUAGUCUUGUAAUUGGAAUGAGUACAAUUUACAUCUCUUCACGAGGAUCAAUUGGAGGGCAAGUCUGGUGCCAGCAGCCGCGGUAAUUCCAGCUCCAAUAGCGUAUAUUAAAGUUGUUGCAGUUAAAAAGCUCGUAGUCGGAUUUCGGGGCGGGGCGACCGGUCUGCCGAUGGGUAUGCACUGGUCGGCGCGUCCUUCCUUCCGGAGACCGUGCCUACUCUUAACUGAGCGGGGGCGGGAGACGGAUCGUUUACUUUGAAAAAAUCAGAGUGUUUCAAGCAGGCGUCUCGCCUUUGCAUGGAUUAGCAUGGGAUAAUGAAAUAGGACUUUGGUGCUAUUUUGUUGGUUUCGAACACCGAAGUAAUGAUUAACAGGGACAGUCAGGGGCACUCGUAUUCCGUCGAGAGAGGUGAAAUUCUCAGACCAAUGGAAGACGAACAACUGCGAAAGCAUUUGCCAGGGAUGUUUUCACUGAUCAAGAACGAAAGUUAGGGGAUCGAAGACGAUCAGAUACCGUCGUA
rnacentral:rRNA from 1 species